rnacentral:rRNA from 1 species
UACGUAGGUGGCAAGCGUUGUCCGGAUUUAUUGGGCGUAAAGCGCGCGCAGGCGGUCUUUUAAGUCUGAUGUGAAAGCCCCCGGCUCAACCGGGGAGGGUCAUUGGAAACUGGGAGACUUGAGUGCAGAAGAGGAGAGUGGAAUUCCAUGUGUAGCGGUGAAAUGCGUAGAUAUAUGGAGGAACACCAGUGGCGAAGGCGGCUCUCUGGUCUGUAACUGACGCUGAGGCUCGAAAGCGUGGGGAGCAAACAGG